rnacentral:rRNA from 1 species
GACGAACGCUGGCGGCGUGCCUAAUACAUGCAAGUAGAACGCACAGUUUAUACCGUAGCUUGCUCCACCAUAGACUGUGAGUUGCGAACGGGUGAGUAACGCGUAGGUAACCUGCCUGGUAGCGGGGGAUAACUAUUGGAAACGAUAGCUAAUACCGCAUAAUAUUAAUUAUUGCAUGAUAAUUAAUUGAAAGGUGCAAUUGCACCACUACCAGAUGGACCUGCGUUGUAUUAGCUAGUAGGUGAGGUAACGGCUCACCUAGGCGACGAUACAUAGCCGAACUGAGAGGGUGAUCGGCCAAACUGGGACUGAGACACGGCCCAGACUCCUACGGGAGGCAGCAGUAGGGAAUCUUCGGCAAUGGACGAAAGUCUGACCGAGCAACGCCGCGUGAGUGAAGAAGGUUUUCGGAUCGUAAAGCUCUGUUGUAAGAGAAGAACGGGUGUGAGAGUGGAAAGUUCACACUGUGACGGUAUCUUACCAGAAAGGGACGGCUAACUACGUG